rnacentral:rRNA from 1 species
UACGGGGGGGGCAAGCGUUGUUCGGAAUUACUGGGCGUAAAGGGCUUGUAGGUGGCCAUCUAAGUCAGACGUGAAAUCCCUCAGCUUAACUGGGGAACUGCGUCUGAUACUGGAUGGCUUGAGUUUGGGAGAGGGACGCGGAAUUCCAGGUGUAGCGGUGAAAUGCGUAGAUAUCUGGAGGAACACCGGUGGCGAAGGCGGCGUCCUGGACCAAUACUGACACUGAAAAGCGAAAGCCAGGGGAGCAAACGGG